rnacentral:rRNA from 1 species
GACGUAGGGCGCGAGCGUUGUCCGGAUUUAUUGGGCGUAAAGAGCUCGUAGGCGGCUUGUCGCGUCGUCCGUGAAAACCUGCGGCUCAACUGCAGGCUGGCGGUCGAUACGGGCAGGCUGGAGUUCGGUAGGGGAGACUGGAAUUCCUGGUGUAGCGGUGAAAUGCGCAGAUAUCAGGAGGAACACCUGAGGUGAAGACGGGUUGCUGGGCUGACACUGACGCUGAGGCGCGAAAGCUAGGGUAGCAAACGGG